UGCCCAGCAACUCCUAUCCCUAGCUCCUCGCGUACUGGAUCGGGUAACCAACCCCCGGUGGGAACUUUGGUCGUAUGCUGACAGGGAAGG
rnacentral:ribozyme from 1 species